rnacentral:rRNA from 1 species
GAUGAACGCUGGCGGCGUGCCUAAUACAUGCAAGUCGAGCGAACAGAUGAGGAGCUUGCUCCUCUGACGUUAGCGGCGGACGGGUGAGUAACACGUGGAUAACCUACCUAUAAGACUGGGAUAACUUCGGGAAACCGGAGCUAAUACCGGAUAAUAUAUUGAACCGCAUGGUUCAAUAGUGAAAGACGGUUUUGCUGUCACUUAUAGAUGGAUCCGCGCCGCAUUAGCUAGUUGGUAAGGUAACGGCUUACCAAGGCAACGAUGCGUAGCCGACCUGAGAGGGUGAUCGGCCACACUGGAACUGAGACACGGUCCAGACUCCUACGGGAGGCAGCAGUAGGGAAUCUUCCGCAAUGGGCGAAAGCUUGACGGAGCAACGCCGCGUGAGUGAUGAAGGUCUUCGGAUCGUAAAACUCUGUUAUUAGGGAAGAACAAAUGUGUAAGUAACUAUGCACGUCUUGACGGUACCUAAUCAGACAGCCACGGCUAACUACGUG